AUUGAACGCUGGCGGCAGGCUUAACACAUGCAAGUCGAGCGAGCGGCGGACGGGUGAGUAAUGUCUGGGAAACUGCCUGAUGGAGGGGGAUAACUACUGGAAACGGUAGCUAAUACCGCAUACCAUCAGAUGUGCCCAGAUGGGAUUAGCUAGUAGGUGGGGUAAUGGCUCACCUAGGCGACGAUCCCUAGCAGGUCUGAGAGGAUGACGCGCCACACUGGAACGGUGACACUGUCAAGACUCCUACGUGAGGCAGCGGUGGGGAUUAUUGCACAAUGGGCGCAAGCCUGAUGCAGCCAUGCUGGGUGUAUGAAGAAGGCUUUCGGGUUGUAAAGUACUUUCAGCGGGGAGGCGUUACCCGAAGAAGAAGCACCGGCUAACUCCGUGCCAGCAGCCGCGGUAAUUC
rnacentral:rRNA from 1 species